AUUGCUCACUCUCCCUCAAGGGCUUCUGAAUUUGCCUGUGUUUAAGGGCUUAAACUGAAGCGCUGGAGGGGAGAGUGGAUAA
rfam:Gossypium raimondii Chr08_contig_1282, whole genome shotgun sequence.